rnacentral:rRNA from 1 species
AGAGUUUGAUCCUGGCUCAGGAUGAACGCUUGCGGCAGGCUUAAUACAUGCAAGUCGAACGGUAACAGGCCUUCGGGUGCUGACGAGUGGCGGAUGGGUGAGUAACGCGUAUGCAACCUACCUCGUGUCGAGAAAAAGUCGACUGAAAAGUCGAUUAAAGUUUCGUAGUGUACAGGCUACGCAUGUAGCUUGUAUGAUAGACGCAAGUUGGCGCGAGAUGGGCAUGCGUAUCAUUAGCUAGUUGGUAGGGUAACGGCCUACCAAGGCGACGAUGAUUAGGGGUCCUGAGAGGGAGGUCCCCCACACUGGGACUGAGACACGGCCCAGACUCCUACGGGAGGCAGCAGUAGGGAAUAUUGGUCAAUGGGCGGAAGCCUGAACCAGCCAUGCCGCGUGAUGGACGACGGCCUUCGGGUUGUAAACAUCUUUUCUGCUAGAGGAAUAUAGCUUAUGUAUAGGCAGAUGACUGUAUAGCAGGAAUAAGGAUCGGCUAACUCCGUGCCAGCAGCCGCGGUAAUACGGAGGAUCCGAGCGUUAUCCGGAUUUAUUGGGUUUAAAGGGUGCUUAGGCGGCAUAUUAAGUUAGUGGUCAAAUGGUCCGGCUCAACCGGAUUUCGCCAUUAAAACUGAUGUGCUAGAGAUUAAACGAGGUAGGCGGAAUAAGUUAAGUAGCGGUGAAAUGCAUAGAUAUAACUUAGAACUCCGAUAGCGAAGGCAGCUUACCAGGCUACAUCUGACGCUGAAUCACGAGAGCGUGGGUAUCGAACAGGAUUAGAUACCCUGGUAGUCCACGCCGUAAACGAUGCUCACCGGCUCUGUGCGAUAAGAGUGUAUGGGGCUAAUAGAAAUAAUUAAGUGAGCCACCUGGGGAGUACGUCGGCAACGAUGAAACUCAAAGGAAUUGACGGGGGCCCGCACAAGCGGAGGAACAUGUGGUUUAAUUCGAUGAUACGCGAGGAACCUUACCCGGGUUUAAAUGUAUGUUGCAUUAUGUAGAAAUACGUAUUUUCUUCGGAACUGCAUACAAGGUGCUGCAUGGUUGUCGUCAGCUCGUGCCGUGAGGUGUCGGGUUAAGUCCCAUAACGAGCGCAACCCUUAUGAUUAGUUGCUAACGGAUAAAGCCGAGCACUCUAUUCACACUGCCACCGUAAGGUGCGAGGAAGGAGGGGAUGAUGUCAAAUCAGCACGGCCCUUAUAUCCGGGGCUACACACGUGUUACAAUGGUCGGUACAGAGGGUUGCAUUUACGAGAGUAACAGCUAAUCCCUAAAAUCGGUCACAGUUCGGAUUGGAGUCUGCAACUCGACUCCAUGAAGUCGGAAUCGCUAGUAAUCGCACAUCAGCCAUGGUGCGGUGAAUACGUUCCCGGGCCUUGUACACACCGCCCGUCAAGCCAUGGGAGCUGAGGGUGCCUGAAGUUCGUAACCGCGAGGAGCGACCUAGGGCAAACUUGGUAACUGGGGCUAAGUCGUAACAAGGUAGCCGUACCGGAAGGUGCGGCUG